rnacentral:rRNA from 1 species
UACAGAGGUCCCAAGCGUUGUCCGGAAUUAUUGGGCGUAAAGCGCGCGCAGGCGGUCCUUUAAGUCUGAUGUGAAAGCCCACGGCUCAACCGUGGAGGGUCAUUGGAAACUGGGGGACUUGAGUGCAGGAGAGAAGAGUGGAAUUCCACGUGUAGCGGUGAAAUGCGUAGAGAUGUGGAGGAACACCAGUGGCGAAGGCGACUCUUUGGUCUGUAACUGACGCUGAGGCGCGAAAGCGUGGGGAGCAAACAGG